ensembl:lncRNA
UUAAAAACAAAUACAAGUUACUUCACUGGAUCAUCACAUGUGAACAAGAAUAGAUUUUUUUCCACCAAUAUUUGUAAUAACACCCUCAGACAUAUUUCCCAUUCACAUGGCUGCAUACAGACAACUUCUCUCUCUUUUUAUUUCGUUGCAGUUGAUUAUUUACAGUCAAUCUAAGGAAUGCAUCGGCUCUGUGACAAUAAUAGCUCAUAUCGGCAGCAUAUUAAAACCUUGCUGUUUGGGAUGCAAAAUUCCGGUAACUUUCCCCCAAGAUUCCCAGGUUUUCCAGACAUUCCAGUUGGAAGAUUUCUGGAAUCAGGAGGGAACAAGCAGAAUGUGAACGCGACCUACUGUGCUGGAGUGGUCAGAUUCAGGUGGAUGAUGGUGGUAACACUAAUUUAUGCAUAUCAACUCAAUCUAGCCAUCAAAGGUAGGGGUGAACAUUUCCAGUAACUUCCGCCAAAUUCCCAGAAGUCCAGACUGGAGUUACCAGAAUUUUGCAAACCUAAUCAUAGUUGAUCUGUAUUAUAUAUGUUUGCAGUCAAAAUAGGUCUGUUGUUGUGGGUUGAUAGGUCUGUUAUUGUGGGGACGAUAGGUCUAUUGUUGUGGGGAUGAUAGAUCUGUUGUUGUGGGUUGAUAGGUCUGUUGUUGUGGGGGAGAUAGGUCUGUUGUUGUGGAUUGAUAGGUCUGUUGUUGUGGGGAUGAUAGGUCUGUUGUUGUGGGUUGAUAGGUCUGUUGUUGUGGGGAGAUAGGUCUGUUGUUGUGGGUUGAUAGAUAUGUUGUUGUGGGGAGAUAGGUCUGUUGUUGUGGGGGAGAUAGGUCUGUUGUUGUGGGGACGAUAGGUCUGUUGUUGUGAGGAUGAUAGGUCUGUUGUUGUGGGUUGAUAGGUCUGUUGUUGUGGGUUGAUAGGUCUGUUGUUGUGGGGAGAUAUGUUGUUGUGGGGAUGAUAGGUCUGUUGUUGUGGGUUGAUAUGUCUGUUGUUGUGGGGACGAUAGGUCUAUUGUUGUGGGGACAAUAGGUCUGUUGUUAUGGGGAUGAUAGGUCUGUUGUGGGGAUGAUAGGUCUGUUGUUGUGGGUUGAUAGGUCUGUUGUUGUGGGUUGAUAGGUAUGUUGUUGUGGGUUGAUAGGUCUGUUGUUGUGGGGAUGAUAGGUAUGUUGUUGUGGGUUGAUAUGUCUGUUGUUGUGGGGACGAUAGGUCUGUUGUUGUGGGGGAGAUAGGUCUGUUGUUGUGGGGACGAUAUGUCUGUUGAUUUGUGGGUUGAUAGGUCUGUUGUUGUGGGGACAAUAGGUCUGUUGUUGUGGGGACAAUAGGUCUGUUGUUGUGGGUUGAUAGGUCUGUUGUUGUGGGUUGGUAGGUCUGUUGUGGGGACGAUUGGUCUGUUGUUGUGGGGAGAUUGGUAUGUUGUUGUGGGGAGAUAUGUCUGUUGUUGUGGGGACGAUUGGUCUGUUGUUGUGGGUUGAUAGGUCUGUUGUGGGGACGAUAGGUCUGUUGUUGUGGGUUGAUAGGUCUGUUGUUGUGGGGACGAUAGGUCUGUUGUUGUGGGUUGAUAGGUCUGUUGUUGUGGGGACGAUAGGUCUGUUGUUGUGGGUUGAUAGGUCUGUUGUUGUGGGUUGAUAGGUCUGUUGUUGUGGGGGAGAUAGGUCUGUUGUUUUAGGGACGAUAGGUCUGUUGUUUAUUGAACAGGCAGGAGGGCCCCUAAAUAAAACCCAUCUAUAAUCUCAACUUCAAUAUUAUAUACAUUAUUUACAAUGGAAUGUUGGGCUGAAGCUUUCAGACUUAAUGCUAUUGUAUACAAAAGAGUUGAAGCCUUCAGACUUAAUGCUAUUGUAUACAAAAGAGUUGAAGCCUUCAGACUUAAUGCUAUUGUAUACAAAAGAGUUGAAGCCUUCAGACUUAAUGCUAUUGUAUACAAAAGAGUUGAAGCCUUCAGACUUAAUGCUAUUGUAUACAAAAGUAUAUUGAGGGAAUGACAAUGAAAAACAAGAUAGAGAAUAAUUUUUACAACAACCAUAAUCUAUGGAUUCAAGGACAACACCAAUACCUAAUUCUGUCAUUCUCCCAUGUUUUUUUAAUCAUUUCAGGUCAAGUAUGGCAGUGGUUCCUAAAAGGAACAAAACAUUGAUUUGUGCUUGAAAAGAAAUAUAAUUGACUUCAGUUAUGGAAAUGCUUUGGGCACUGGGACACCGUUGUGUCCUAAGGGUGUUUGAAUUAUACCAAAUCUCUCAAUUACUGUGGGAAUCAUUCUGUUUUCAACUCUGCAGACGUUCUCCAGCCAUUUAGGUGUUUUCACGGGGAAUCAAAGUGCUGGAGGGUUGAAGUGAAGAGGAAGUAACAUCUAAUGUCUCUCCUUUCUCUGUCAUGUGAUAGGACAUUAUGGAAGCUGUUUCUGACAUCACAGAGAUACAAGCUAUAUUAGGAUCAUUCCUCCUCAACUUUAACGUCAAAGAGAACUUCUCUUCUUCAUCUACGGUAAAUCAUUCUUUAUAUGCAAUAUAUUUGAACAAAACCUCACUUCUCACAAAAGGCAUAGGCCCUAACAUACCCGAAGGAAUAAGAAAAUAAAGGAUCAUGUAUGGUCUCUUUCAUAAAACGUGUUGCAUGUGGUUUUCUUUCAGAAUCAUUGCAGCAGAAAUAAAGAACACAAGGCGAAAAUAACAAUGGUUUAACGCCGUUAUAGUUCUCAUCUUUAAAGUCUAACACAUAGUGGUGGUUCAGAAUCAGAAUCACAUUAUAGUGGUGGUUCAGAAUCAGAAUCACAUUAUAGUGGUGGUUCAGAAUCAGAAUCACAUUAUAGUGGUGGUUCAGAAUCAG